AGAAACAAGCUAUCCAUGACUGGUAACCCGAAAAAACUGUGCCAUGAUCGCUUCUCGUGUCGUCAGAUGCUGAAUAUCAUGGUGAUUCUUGGAUUCAUGUUGAACUACACGUUACGUGUCAAUUUGACGAUAGCUAUCGUGGAUAUGGUAUUACCCAGUAACAGCACCAGACAUUCUACCGAAACCAUCGCGGACUCAGGAUGUGCGGGAUCGGUUGAUUUCCAUAAAAAUUUCACAUCUAAUACGAGUCUAAAUGAACUGGGGGACUUACCGAAAAAACAUCAGGCCAUCGAACAAACCAGGUAUCCAUGGAACGAGUACGAGGUAAACAAGAUCUUGGGUAGCUUCUUCUGGGGGUACAUCUGCACCGAAUUGCCUGGUGGUCGGCUUGCGGAAAUCGUUGGUGCCAAAAGGGUGUUUGGGUACAGUAUGCUGACCGCAAGCGCCGUCACGCUUCUCACACCGUUGGCAGCGACACUCGGUUAUCCUGCAGUCGCGGCUCUCAGAGUGAUUCUUGGCUUUAUGCUGGGAGCCACUUGGCCCGCGAUCCAUCCCAUGACUGCAAGAUGGAUACCUCCAAUGGAACGGAGCAAAUUCAUUGCGAAUAUGAUGGCAUCUUCUCUCGGAGCGGCGAUCACGAUGCCGAUAUGUGGGUUCCUGAUUGCUUCGAUUGGCUGGGAGUCGGUCUUCUAUGUUACCGGUGGAAUCAGCUUAAUAUGGAGCAUCGUCUGGUUCUUUGUUGUCUAUGAUUCUCCAGCUCAACACCCUCGCAUCUCAGCAGAGGAACGCCGGUUCAUUGAGGAGUCCAUCGGGACGACUUCCACCUCAAAGCACCUGGCUGUACCGUGGAAGGCGAUGUUGACGUCUGUCCCAGUUUGGGCAAUCAUCGUCACCCACGGAUGCAGUGUUUUCGGCUACUUUACGGUGGUGAAUCAGCUGCCAACUUAUAUGAAAUACAUUCUGGGCUUCGAAAUUAAAAAGAAUGGUCUACUUUCGUCCUUGCCUUACCUAGGGAAAUAUUGUUUCGCCGUGUUGACGUCAUCUGCAGCCGAUUAUCUGAGAAGAACUCAUAAGCUUUCAGUGACAGCGAUUCGUAAGAGCUUCACUGCUUUCGCGGUAAUGACUCCUGGACUGCUGAUGAUCGUGCAAGCUUUGAUGGGCUGUGACCGGAUUACUUCUGUGGCGAUAUUUACAGUCGCCCUGACGAUUAACGGCGGAGUAACCGCUGGAUACUUAGGAAAUGGCUUAGACAUUGCCCCGAAUUUUUCCGGGACGAUUUUCGGGUUGGCCAAUACUCUUAGUUCUUUAGGAGGCUUCUUGAGCGCCGAAAUGGUUGGCUCGUUGACUUUCGAGAACCAGUCCUUCCCACAGUGGAGGAUAGUGUUCUGGAUUCUUGCUGCCACCUAUGUGUGCGGUGGUCUGACCUUUACAUUCUUUGGAUCCGGAAAACUUCAGUCUUGGAAUAGCCCAAGGAGCGAUGGAAGUAUCACGGAAAAAGAGCGGGCUCUGGAGAACGGCAAAUCACCCGAAGAGGUCAUUCCUCUGAAAGACAAGACUGAAGUAUGAGCAGGGGGUGACAGGUCGACGACUCAAAUGUCAAGGCACGUAAAGCUGUAUUGGAUAUAAAUUUUUCCUUCCGGUUCAUGGUUGGCUUGGCUCUAACAAUGUGGAAAUCACAGUAUUUUAUUAGGCUACGUGAUGCUCGAAGCUCAGCAGGAAACUUAUGACAAAAAUUGUUCAGUGACAGUUUUGUGCGGGCACGAAAACUAAGAGGAACUUGAUGCAUGUUAAAUUCUAACAAUAAGGACGGGGCCAAUCGAUUCAUUGAAAUAACAAAUCUUGAGGGCGAUCUUUGGGGUACAUGAAGAUAUCAACGACGGGCUAUCUUUAUUGACGCAAAUGAUUGACUGACAAAGGAUGCAGUUUAAUUGAUAUAUCGACGACAAAAUUGAAACUCAUAGUGACGAUGAAUUUUUCGAGAGCUGCGCAUCGGUCGGGUAGGAAAUUGUUGCUCUGCCGGUAGUUUAAAUAUGAAAAUCGAAAUGAGUAAAAAAAUAAUCGCAUGAAAAUGAUUGAAGAAUUUGGAAAGGACAUAAGGCGACAUGGAAGAGAUUUCACGUUUUGACCAACACCACUUGCCAAAUUAACUUGUCAGCUGGGGCUAUUCUAAAUAUGUCCCGGAAAACAAUCUGCCAUCAUUAUAAGCACUCGGAACAGUCUUAAAUUUUAAAUGUACACAAACAUCUAUUGUCAAGCUUGGUAUUUCUUUAUGGUUCUAAACUUUUAAGUAUAACUUUGAAAUUUGGAAUGAAUCGAUCGCAAGGUUUAAGAAGACUGCAUCAACAUUGCAUCAGACGGGAGGUAUAUACGUGAGAACAUUACCAUUUUGUAAAUUGUAUUUUAUCGAAAUAUGUAAAUAAAGAUUUAAGUUUUUUA
rnacentral:misc_RNA from 1 species